rnacentral:rRNA from 1 species
GAUGAACGCUGGCGGCGUGCCUAAUACAUGCAAGUAGAACGCUGAAGGAGGAGCUUGCUCUUCUGGAUGAGUUGCGAACGGGUGAGUAACGCGUAGGUAACCUGCCUGGUAGCGGGGGAUAACUAUUGGAAACGAUAGCUAAUACCGCAUGACAACAGUUAUUGCAUGAUAACUGUUUAAAAGGGGCAACUGCUCCACUACCAGAUGGACCUGCGUUGUAUUAGCUAGUUGGUGAGGUAACGGCUCACCAAGGCGACGAUACAUAGCCGACCGGAGAGGGGGAGCGGCCACACUGGGACUGAGACACGGCCCAGACUCCUACGGGAGGCAGCAGUAGGGAAUCUUCGGCAAUGGACGGAAGUCUGACCGAGCAACGCCGCGUGAGUGAAGAAGGUUUUCGGAUCGUAAAGCUCUGUUGUAAGAGAAGAACGAGUGUGAGAGUGGAAAGUUCACACUGUGACGGUAUCUUACCAGAAAGGGACGGCUAACUACGUG